UAAGCGGAUGCGAUGACGAUCGGCUGGU
rnacentral:sRNA from 1 species